rnacentral:piRNA from 1 species
CAGAAGCCCGAGGAACAGCAGAAGCC